rnacentral:rRNA from 1 species
AGCGGAGGAAAAGAAACCAACAGGGAUUGCCUCAGUAACGGCGAGUGAAGCGGCAAAAGCUCAAAUUUGAAAUCUAGCACUUUCAGUGUUCGAGUUGUAAUUUGAAGAAGGUAACUUUGGUUUUGGCUCUUGUCUAUGUUCCUUGGAACAGGACGUCACAGAGGGUGAGAAUCCCGUGCGAUGAGAUGCCCAAUUCCAUGUAAAGUGCUUUCGAAGAGUCGAGUUGUUUGGGAAUGCAGCUCUAAGUGGGUGGUAAAUUCCAUCUAAAGCUAAAUAUUGGCGAGAGACCGAUAGCGAACAAGUACAGUGAUGGAAAGAUGAAAAGAACUUUGAAAAGAGAGUGAAAAAGUACGUGAAAUUGUUGAAAGGGAAGGGCUUGAGAUCAGACUUGGUAUUUUGCGUUCCCUUCCUUUUUGGUUGGGUUCCUCGCAGUUUACUGGGCCAGCAUCGGUUUGGAUGGUAGGAUAAUGACAUUGGAAUGUAGCUUUACUUCGGUGAAGUGUUAUAGACUUUGUUGAUACUGCCUAUCUAGACCGAGGACUGCGUCUUUGACUAGGAUGCUGGCGUAAUGAUCUUAAGCCGCCCG